GAUAGCUCAGUUGGUAGAGCAAUCGGCUGUUAACCGAUCGGUCGUAGGUUCGAGUCCUACUC
rnacentral:tRNA from 11 species